UCCCUUCACAUCCGAUCAGAAGAAAAAUUUGGGAAGAUAAAGCCAGCUGCGUAGGAUGAAAGUGACUUCAUCGUCCACCUUUUGAGAGGUUCCAAAAUGGACAACUGUGGUCUCCUUACGCUCAACAAAGAACCAGUUCCUCUGAAGAGUGUGGAGGUGGAGGUGGAGGUGAGAGACCAUGUGGCUACAGUGGUUUCCACUCUGCACUAUGAGAACAAGGAGGACAAACCCAUAGAGGCUGUUUUUGUCUUCCCUCUGCCUGGAGAUGCUGCCGUCUGUCAUUUCAGUGCCAAGAUUGGGCA